CAGGAAAUCCAGGUGCUGGUGUUGUGGUCAUUUCUUUCACGUGGACCAUGUGGAACCUGGGGUGGAGGAGGUUGCUGCUACUGCACCGGCUCUAUUUUGGGAAGAGGUUUCCAGGAACCACUCUCCAUGUAGCCCUUGGAUUGUGUGUUGUUCAGUUCUCAGCUUUCUGAUGAUGGUGUACCUGUCCACCUUGAUGACCACAUGUGAAGAAAGGUCCCCGGUUUAAUGGACCAAAAGCACCAGCUGUGUGCUUGGCACAGGGAGAAGAUAACUAGGCAGAAUAUCUUAUGAUCCUUGUGGGAAGGAGAACUCUCAGGAGAAACUGCAGAAUAUUUUUAGUUCCU